CCUACGGGAGGCAGCAGUGGGGAAUAUUGCACAAUGGGGGAAACCCUGAUGCAGCGACGCCGCGUGAGCGAUGAAGUAUUUCGGUAUGUAAAGUUCUAUUAGCAGGGACGAAAAUGACGGUACCUGACUAAGAAGCCCCGGCUAACUACGUGCCAGCAGCCGCGGUAAUACGUAGGUGGCAAGCGUUAUCCGGAUUUACUGGGUGUAAAGGGCGUGUAGACGGGCUGGUAAGCCAGAUGUGAAAGCUCUGGGCUCAACCCCGAGACUGCAUUUGGAACUAUAGGUCUUGAGUGUUGGAGAGGCAGGCGGAAUUCCGAGUGUAGCGGUGAAAUGCGUAGAUAUUAGGAGGAACACCAGUGGCGAAGGCGGCCUGCUGGACAAUAACUGACGUUGAGGCGCGAAAGCGUGGGGAGCAAACAGGAUUAGAUACCCCAGUAGUC
rnacentral:rRNA from 1 species